rnacentral:tmRNA from 1 species
GGGGUUGUUUGGUUUUGACAGCUCGUAUGUGAUUAUGUAAGCACGUCGGACGUUGUAAGCAGGUUCCGUAAAAGCCAACUUUCAUGCCAGAAUAAAUGGCGAAAAUAAUAAUUUUGCUCUCGCGGCUUAGUCAGACUAAGAAGCAGGCUGUUUCCCCGAAAGCCUUUCUCUACGGCGUUCGGUACGAAGCAUCGUAAAGGUAGAGAUAGUUUUUAUAAUCCUCGGUAUAAAAACGAAUUUAAAGAGGAUAAGUUUUUGUCUGGCUUAGCCUUUUGCCGUACAAAAAUCGAAAACUAAACAAAGGAUAAGCGUGUAGAAAGCAUCUUUGCAGCGUGUUUGGACGAGGGUUCGACUCCCUCCAACUCCACCA